AGCAGCCGCGGUAAUUCCAGCUCCAAUAGCGUAUAUUAAAGUUGUUGCAGUUAAAAAGCUCGUAGUUGAAUUUCGGGGCCAGUAGGUUGGUCGUGCCACUGGUAUGCACUGGCCUUACUGGUCCCUCCUUCUUGUAGAACCGUGAUGCCAUUAAUUUGGUGUUGCGGGGAAACAGGACUGUUACUUUGAAAAAAUUAGAGUGCUUAAAGCAGGCUCGCGCUUGAAUACAUUAGCAUGGAAUAACGGAAUAGGACGAUCGAACCUAUUUUGUUGGUUUCUAGGAUCGACGUAAUGAUUAAUAGGGAUAGUUGGGGGCAUUAGUAUUCAAUUGUCAGAGGUGAAAUUCUUGGAUUUAUUGAAGACUAACUACUGCGAAAGCAUUUGCCAAGGAUGUUUUCAUUAAUCAAGAACGAAAGUUAGGGGAUCGAAGACGAUCAGAUACCGUCGUAGUCUUAACCAUAAACUAUGCCGACUAGGGAUCGGAUGAAGUUAAUUUUUAAUGACUCAUUCGGCGCCUUAC
rnacentral:rRNA from 1 species